UGGGGUAUAGCCAAGUGGUAAGGCAACGGGUUUUGAUCCCGUCAUUCGUUGGUUCAAGUCCAGCUACCCCAG
rfam:Paraglaciecola psychrophila 170 chromosome, complete genome.